GUCCCUGUGGCGCAACGGAUAGCACCUCGGACUUCUAAUCCGAAGGGCGUGGGUUCGAAUCCCACCUAGGAUG
rnacentral:tRNA from 1 species